UUACGCGCGGGGACUGGCUGCCCGCUGGCGUCGCGUGCCCUAGGAGGGGGGAGCGGACGCCUACACCAGUUAACUCCGGAGAAGCUCUGAGCGCAGUCAGCCAGGCUCACCCCUUGGGCUCCCAACUCAGGCUCGAGUUCGGUCGCAGCUCUGUCUCACCUCCAUCUCCCCUGCACACACACACACACACACGCACACGCACACACACUCACGCACACUCUCACCCACCCCCAUAUGAAAUCCGAUUUAUCAGGGUCCCGCGCGCCCUUUGCACUUUCACGUCUCACUUCAUUAUUUCAGACUUAGCGGUGGAGAGGAGCAAGGGGUGCAUGAAUGUGCGGGAAAACAACACCCCAGCCUUCCCCGGCUCCCCUCGAAGGGUUAAAUUUUAAACCGCGGAUUCUCGGACCAGCCCGGAAACUCAGAGUGGGGGUGGGGUGGGGGGCUGCUUUCCCCCCUCCCCGUGGCAGAUGCUAAUAACUAUUCCGUUUUCUAGAUCAAAUCGUUUAAAGCUUAUGCAAAAAAAGAAAAAGGAAAGAAAGAAAAAGAAGAGAAAAGAAAGAACCCACAACUGUUUCUAAGAUUUUAAAGCGAUAGGCAAGUCGGAGAAACCGAGAUUUAUUUGGGGGAAAGCAAGCGUGCGCCAAGCCGACCCAGCUUUUGGAAGACCAGCCCUCCUACUUGGACGUUGAGACUGUUGAUUCCUCCAAUUAAUGAAAUGCAUUUGGUGUUAAUCAUAUUUAUUUUACUUUAUGGGAGGGGGAGACGCUAGGAGGGCGCACUAAAAAAUCUGAAAAAGCCUGCAAAAGAAUCCAAGAGUGAAAACUAUUGUUGGAUUUUUACCUCAACAGCGCCACCUUUCGGCAAAGAUGGCCGACUUUCCUGCCAUUUCCUGAUGCCAAUUCUGAAGCCAGGAGACCCCAAGGCGGUUUCUGGAACUGAAGAGUUCAGAAUUUCCAGUGUCCACCUUUGAGCUGCAACCAGUUCCCCCUGGCCCCGCUUAAAAGGACCUAAAAAUGCAGACUUUUGCAGAAUCUGCCUUUCCUGACUCCCAUCUCAUCCUCAAACCUGGGAAGGAGAGCAGGAGGGGCCCAUGAGUUAUUUAUGACCUGCUGUCUGCGGUGUGUGUCCUGUCUGAGAGCUGAGGAUUGGCGCUCUCAGUAGACCCGACCCAGGAUCCUCAGGACUCUGGGGGACCCUUCAGGUCAGUGUCCCUGACUGUGGACUUCAGGCUCUGUGAAGAGUGGCUGAUCAGGCCGAGUUGGGUGAUGUGGGCAUGGGCAGACUGGGGUAGGGGGAGGUGGGCUGGCCUGGAGACAGCCUGCUGAUUCACCCUCUGACUUGCGCCCACGAUUUCACCGUCUUCCUCCAACUCAUUUUUCAUGCUGCAAGUGGACUGGGCUGCAUGAAGACGUUAACAAAAAUUCUGGAUUGCGCAGAGCGAAUGUUCUCAGCCCUUUACCGUUGAAUAUAGGGUCAGUAAACCACGUGCAAAGACAAAAGCUGACAUGCUGGAUUGCUGCAGAGCCCUGACGGGUCAUAAUGAUAAAGUCAGAGUGUCCUUGGGGUCAACAUGACAGAGUCAGGGUGGCGGGGUCAGAAUGGCAGGGCCAGACCCUCCUGCCUCUCCAGGCCAGGAGGUGCUGUGGUUUUUCGGUUACCAAUAUUUAAUGCCUUUGGUGGCAGGACAGUGAGGGAGUGAAGCAGGGGUCUCUGAGUGUGGCCCGGGAGGGGACAUACCCAGAGAUGCUGGGCUUUGGCAUCGGGCCAACACAGGUGUGACUCCUGCUCAGUCCCAAGUGGGACACCUACAAGUCCGUGGAUCUCUUGCCUUCAUUCUUCCCUCGGGUCAAAGGUGGGGGCGUCUUGUGAUCACAGUGAGCAUGCGCACCAAGUGGUUGGCGUGUGUCGACCUGCCCCAGGUUUAGCUCACUGCGUCACCUUAACAGUCCUGUGGGAUGUGUUCUGGUUAUCUCCAUGUGACGGAGGAGCACGCUAAGGGACAUUUUCCAAGGUGUUGGGAAGCAGUCCAGCUUCGUGUCCAUCUUGAGGACAUCUGUCACCAGUGUGGAGUCUUGGAGGUCAAGGUGGUGAAAUACAGAGAAGGCGAGAUACCCAUUCAAGGCCAGAGCUUGUCAGUCUUCAGGUUCCCCAGAGGCAAUUUCAAUAUGUCUCCCUGUGCAAAGCCUCUCCAGGGAGUGACACCUGCCCGCAGAGGUUUACAGCUGGGCCCACGCAUGACCGCGAAGUAGUUGCUGAAGUUCCAGCCAUCAUGUCUGCAUUCCAAGAUGGAGGGAAAGAAAAGAAAAAUUCAUGGGCCUGAUGAGGAGGCAGACUUUGGCUGUCAUCUUGAUUUGACCAAUGAGCCCAAGGAAGAAGCCUGUACGUGAGCCAGAGUCACAGGGUACCAACGAAAAGUGAUACUGGAAGAUUCUGUGCCAUUCUCCGCAGCCACUCCUACCCUGAGGACAAGGUGUCGUCUGGCGGCUUAGGAAAUGUGACUCUGGGAGUGGCCCCGCUGACUCUGGUGCCACUUGAGGCUCUGCUUUUCAGAAGAUCGCUAAUAAUUCCAACACCAAGUUUCAGAUUUGGCAAGAGGCACAUAAAAAUGUUCUCAAGGUGCAGUGUUUAAAAAAAAAAAAAACCAGUAAACAAACAUGA